CAGACAGACGGUCAGUCAGAGAGGACGAUUCAGACUUUGGAGGAUAUGCUUAGAGCUUGUGUUUUGGAUUGGGAAGGGAGUUGGGCAAAGUACCUACCCCUAACGGAGUUUGCCUACAAUAAUAGUUAUCACUCGAGCAUUAAGAUGGCACCAUAUGAGGCUCUUUAUGGUAGGCCUUGUCGCACACCGCUUUGUUGGACCGAAGUGGGGGAGCGACGUGAGAUAGAACCUGCAAUGGUUCAAGAGACAGUUGAGCAGGUUGAGAUGCUUAAGAUGCGGCUUAGGGAAGCCCAUGACCGUCAGAAGAGUUAUGCAGAUAAGCGGCGUAAAGAUUUGGAGUUCCAGGUUGGCGACCUGGUAUACCUGAAAAUGAGGACAUUUCAGGGAGGAUCUAAGACUCGGAAGCUGAAGAAGCUUAAACCGAGAUAUAUGGGACCAUAUCCCAUUUUGGAGCGAAUUGGAGCAGUUGCUUACCGAUUGGAUUUAUCCGAAGAGUUAUCAGAUUUCCAUGACGUGUUUCAUGUUUCGGUUUUGAGGAAAGUCGUGAGAGAACCAGAGCUCAUUUUGCAGCAGCCGCCCAGUGACCUUGGUAGGAAUUUGCGUGCGCCGUGUCAGCCAGUAGAGCUAUUGGAUCGCCAAGUGAAAGCAGAUGAUGGUAUGAUGACUAUGUUGGUCAAAGUUCGUUGGGAGAGAGAUGGUAUUCAGGAGGAGACUUGGGAGUCCGAGCCCCAGAUGAGGAUUGAUUAUCCACUGACUUCAUUCGAGAGUUUGAUAGGAAAUACUUUCCGAAGGAAGCUAUGGAUAGGAAGAAAUGCGAGUUCGAGCAUGUAAGCCAGGGAGAGAUGUCUAUCAGAGAGUAUGAGGUUGUGUUCAACCAACUUCGCAGAUUUGCUGGAGUGGGCAUUUCAGAGGAAGACUUGAUCAGGAAGAUUUUGAGUGGGAUGCGAGUGGAGAUUCGCAACAGGUGUCGCGUAGUCACAUACCACCGAUUGGGAGAUUUGGUGGAGAAAGCUGCCGAGCAGGAGGCAGGCUUGGCGGAGGAGCAGAAACUUACCAAAGCAGUUCAGGUUAAGUCUGGAAAAGCUCCAGAGUCUCAGAGGAGAGCAGGGGACCCGUCGGGAUUACCGAUAUGUCCUCGUUGCCAUCGCAGUCACAGUGGGCAGUGUAUGAGGUGUCUUAUUUGCGGUAAGAUUGGACACAUUGCGAAGUUUUGUCGGGUUAAGCCAUUGGAUACGCCACCAGUCAGACAGAUUGCAGCACCAGCAGCGGCACAGGUCUGUUUUGGCUGUGGUCAGCCAGGUCACUUCAUCAGAGAUUGUCCGAGGAGGGGCAAUGCGGCACUUCCACCACCACCGAAGCGUCUAGCCAUCGCUCCACGUGUGUUUGCGGUUGGAGAUCCUCAGGGAGCUGAGCCGAUAGCAGGUAUGAGACUUUUCCAUACGUGUUUGUGUUUGAAUAUUUUGGUUCGUGGUUGUCAUGUGUAGUUAGUAAAAAUCUCGUGUAGGAUCGGUUUCCGUUGGAGGAGAGUCAGCUUAUACCUUAUUCGACACGGGAGCUUCUCAUAGUUUUGUGAGUCCGCGCUUAGUCCAGUCUUGGUCUUUUCGGGGAGUCUUUGAACCGAAGGCUAAGCAGAUUCAGACUGCCGGUACAGAGAAGUUGGGAGCAGUUGGCAUUCAUCACGAUGUACCAGUUCUACUUGGAGGAGUCGAGUUGCUCGGAGAUUUGACAGAGAUGGAGAUGAGCUCCUACGAUGUUAUACUUGGGAUGGAUUGGUUGUCGCGACAUCGAGUAGUCUUGGAUUGUCCAAAGGCAAGAGUUAACAUCCCUAGAGAAGAAGGAAAGAUCAUUUGCGAGGGCAUUCAGACACACCGGGAAAUUCCUAUCGUCUCCAUGUUGCGUGCAGAAGAAUUAUUGGAGAGUGGAGCAGAGGGAUUUUUGGCAACCAUUUCGAUGGUUAAGGCCGGUGAGUCAACUCGGUUGACUCGGUUAACCGGUUGGUUAGCCGGUUUAAAUUGAUUUCAAUUCGGUUAGGCUAAACCGAUCGGUUUAAAUCAAUUGGAUAUCGGUUAGGAAAAACCGAAUUAAUUAAUUAAAUAAAUAAUUAAUUAAUUAAUUAAUUAAUUAAAUAAUUGAUUUUUGACCAUAUGGGAGAGAGAUGGUAUUCAGGAAGAGACUUGCGAGUCCGAGCCCCAGAUGAGGAUUGAUUAUCCGGAGCUUUUCCG
rnacentral:lncRNA from 1 species